UCGUCCGUAAAAAUCCAAAGAACCCACAGAAGUCCACCUAUUAUUUGAACAGCAGAGAUUGAUUUUUCCAAGUGGAUGCUCUCUCUCCAUUCAUAAGUGGCCAUCCUGGGCAAUGAAUCCAAUUCAUCUAAGAGACAAAAUCGUUCAAAUGCUUGUCCUUCCAAUCCAUGAAAUCCUAGUCUCCUUUCUUGAGGUCUCAGCUAACUCUCUUUGAUACUCCACACCCUCAAAUGCAUCUAGAACGUAUUAACAAUUUGAGACGCCCAAAAGAAGCUUUCCAGUGACUUGCUUCUCGUCAACAGAAGAAGAAAGUUGGGUAAACAUGUCCUUUAUGCUAGACCUUCGAAAGUCAUUGAGGAGCGCAGGAGGUGAAUAGCUGGAUAAACGCGUCCGCCAGAAGGCUCCCGUACACAAGGGUUCUAUGUAGACUGUAGAAUGGGCGGAGUUACUGACUCCUGGGCAGAGACAAGCACUUGCCAGGAUAGGUUUGUGGGACAUCUGUAGGAUCAGGCCUUUUAGCUUGGAUGAUGCUUUGAUCAUUGAGUUAUGCCUUUGAUAUAUACCGGAGACCAGCUCGAUUCCUUAUGAUGUGACGAACUUGCUCCUACUCUUGAGGAUGUUAGCCAGAUUCUUGAGGUUCAGAGUGAGGGUGAGCCUUUUCUUAGUAUUCCCCCAGAGUCGUCUAUUAGUUAUGCCUCUGACUGUAAGGAAUUGUUUAGUAUUCCUUAUGAAAAGAUCAAGGGCAUGCAUGAAUCAUAGAUCCAUCUUGGGAAGCUAAGGUGGGAAUUUACUCAUGUUCCCCAUCGUGUAGAAAGGAUGACGGGUGGUCGUGCUCCUCACAUUUCGAUUUCCGCAGGUAGUAGACCAUCCCAUAGAGGGAAGGCCCAAAUGGAGGAGGGCAGCGAGUCGAGGGGUCCUAGAGUGAGUGGGUCGGUUCAUGGCGAAUCUAGCCGUCCUCCGACUAGAGCGGCUAUCCAAGCUUUGGCAGAGUUGAGUGUCCGGUCAUCAGUGGAUCCAGAGGGAGUUGAGCGUGACGCUCCCGAGCUUGACGGUGUAGAUAUGGAUGGGGGUGCAUUUUUAGAUGAGGACACGAUACCUCCUCCAAUGUUGCUUUCUAAUGAGGAGUGGCGAGACCAAGAGAGAGAGAAGAUUUGAGAUGCGCAUGAGCGGGUCAUGAUUGAGGAUGAGCCAUAGUUGUUUCGACAGGAGGUGGAUUUGACCAUCGAUCAUGAGCCACUUUCAGAUGGUGAGAAAUGUUCCUUGCGGGCUUUUUUCGUAUAUUUGUUUGGGGAGUAUCUGUUUUCUGAUCGAUCCAAUGUUCGAGCUCAUUUAUCGGUGGUUUAGCCGACCAGACGGCUGGAUUAUUUGGAGCCAGUAGCCCGAGGUCCGGCGAUUGUGGGCUGGUUACACCAUCAUCUUUGUAGUGUUGCCAAGAGGGGCCGCUAUUUGGGGGUGUUCAAUUCUUCUCUAGGGUUGGGCAUGGGAACAUAUCACUAUUCCUCGCCCACUUCCAGGUUAGCACUGUCAUUUAUGACUAUUCAUCGUUGGUCAUAUGGAGUGUGGGAGACUGACGAGGUCUUCUCAAGAUUGUACUACUCUCUAUUCUUUGAUACCCAGGCCACCGGGGAGAUUGACUAGACUCCUAUGAGAGUUGACCCUGUCUCAGCGAUUUAUGCCGCAUAUUCUCGAACUUUCAGGACGACGACCCAUUUGAUCUGCAUGUUCUUAGUAAUGUCAUACUUUUCGGGUCGAGUACGACAUCAGUUUGGCCUUCCUCAGUCUUCCUUCAAGAUUACUCUGCCAUGGACUCCAAUUAUGGUCAGCACUGCUAAUGAGGAUGCCUAUAUGAGAAAGAUGACUCCUUGGAUGGAGGAGUGGACGGAUAUGACUGCUCAUGUUAUCGGUGAGGAGGAGGAGGAGGAGAGCAUUUAUUUGUCUUUAUAUGAGGAGAAAUACCGAGUUGUUUUGAGAGAUGUAGCCGCCCUGAUUGAUCAUGGUGAGGGAAUGAUGCGACAGCUGAGGACUGCCUAUCUUGGCGGGGAUCAAUUUUCUGGUGAGGAAGUCGCUUCUCUUCCUGCUGAACGUGACUCGGUGAUAGAGGAGCGAGAUUCGAUUGCUGAGGAUCUCAAGAGUCUUCGUUGCGACUUUAAGGGGAUGAGAGAAGCAAGGGACAUGACAAAAGCGGAGCGUGAUUCUAUCAGGGAUGAGUUGGAGAGAGUUCGUGCUUAGCUGGAAAGAGUACAAUCGGUACCAUCUUCUUCUGUUGUUGUUCCCACCCUUCCUGGACCAUCUCCUGUCCGCAUUGAAGAUUUAGAGAGACGUCUAGAUCGCUACUGAUUGGAGAGGAAUUCAGCCAGAGAUCGAUGCCAUGAGCUUCUGAAGAAUGUGAAAGGUCUUAUAAAUAUAAGUGGUUAAUUGUCAAGGCUUCUAUUGGCAGCGGGUGGUAACCUUCUUUUGUAGAUGCAAACCCUUAUGUGAGGGUGCUGCUCCCAUCUUUCGCUUGGAGUCAGUCGCAAUCUCGGGCAUCUACUUAGGUGACAAAGAGUCUGAGGGGGGUACAACAGAGGUUGGAGGGAGAGGCAAGCACUCGUACACCAAAGGUUGAGGAGGAUUCAGGGUCCAAGAUGUGACCUUUCUUC